rnacentral:rRNA from 1 species
AGCAGCCGCGGUAAUUCCAGCUCCAAUAGCGUAUAUUAAAGUUGCUGCAGUUAAAAAGCUCGUAGUUGAAUUUCGGGACCGAUAUAUCGGUCGUGCCUCGGUACGUACUGGUAUUUUCGGUUUCUACCUUCUGACGAACCUUGAUGUCAUUAAUUUGGUGUCUUGGGGAAUCAGGACUGUUACUUUGAAAAAAUUAGAGUGUUUAAAGCAGGCUCACGCUUGAAUACAUUAGCAUGGAAUAAUGAAAUAGGACGUUUGAUUCUAUUUUGUUGGUUUCUAGGAUCGACGUAAUGAUUAAUAGGGAUAGUUGGGGGCAUUAGUAUUCAAUUGUCAGAGGUGAAAUUCUUGGAUUUAUUGAAGACUAACUACUGCGAAAGCAUUUGCCAAGGAUGUUUUCAUUAAUCAAGAACGAAAGUUAGGGGAUCGAAGACGAUCAGAUACCGUCGUAGUCUUAACCAUAAACUAUGCCGACUAGGGAUCGGAUGAUGUUAAUUUUUAAUGACUCAUUCGGCGCCUUACG